rnacentral:rRNA from 1 species
CCUACGGGGGGCUGCAGUGGGGAAUAUUGGACAAUGGGGGCAACCCUGAUCCAGCCAUGCCGCGUGUGUGAAGAAGGCCCUCGGGUUGUAAAGCACUUUCAGUGAGGAAGAACGCCUGGUGGUUAAUACCCAUCAGGAAAGACAUCACUCACAGAAGAAGCACCGGCUAACUCCGUGCCAGCAGCCGCGGUAAUACGGAGGGUGCGAGCGUUAAUCGGAAUUACUGGGCGUAAAGCGCGCGUAGGUGGCUUGAUAAGCCGGUUGUGAAAGCCCCGGGCUCAACCUGGGAACGGCAUCCGGAACUGUCAAGCUAGAGUGCAGGAGAGGAAGGUAGAAUUCCCGGUGUAGCGUUGAAAUGCGUAGAGAUCGGGAGGAAUACCAGUGGCGAAGGCGGCCUUCUGGACUGACACUGACACUGAGGUGCGAAAGCGUGGGUAGCAAACAGGAUUAGAUACCCGUGUAGUC